rnacentral:rRNA from 1 species
UAUUCCCUACGGGAGGCAGCAGUAGGGAAUCUUCCACAAUGGACGAAAGUCUGAUGGAGCAACGCCGCGUGAGUGAAGAAGGGUUUCGGCUCGUAAAGCUCUGUUGGGAGUGAAAAAAGAUAGAGGUAGGAACUGGCCUUUAUUUGACGGUAAGUACUUAGAAAGUCACGGCUAAAUACGUGCCAGCAGCCGCGGGAAUACGUAGGGGGCAAACGGUGUCCGGAUUUAUUGGGCGUAAAGCGAGGGCAGGCGGGUCAAA